GACGAACGCUGGCGGCGUGCUUAACACAUGCAAGUCGAACGGAAAGGCCCUGCUUUUGUGGGGUGCUCGAGUGGCGAACGGGUGAGUAACACGUGAGUAACCUGCCCUUGACUUUGGGAUAACUUCAGGAAACUGGGGCUAAUACCGGAUAGGAGCUCCUGCUGCAUGGUGGGGGUUGGAAAGUUUCGGCGGUUGGGGAUGGACUCGCGGCUUACCAGCUUGUUGGUGGGGUAGUGGCUUACCAAGGCUUUGACGGGUAGCCGGCCUGGGAGGGUGACCGGCCACAUUGGGACUGAGGUACGGCCCAGACUCCUACGGGAGGCAGCAGUGGGGAAUAUUGCACAAUGGGCGGAAGCCUGAUGCAGCAACGCCGCGUGCGGGAUGACGGCCUUCGGGUUGUGAACCGCUUUCGCCUGUGACGAAGCGUGAGUGACGGUAAUGGGUAAAGAAGCACCGGCUAACUACGUG
rnacentral:rRNA from 1 species